AUCAAGUCUUUAAUCCAAAGCCAGACGGAGCCACAGACUCGAUCGGGGGAAACAAUUUGGGGGCGUCUUGUGUUCAGUUUUUGGAUCAUAUGAAGAAAAAAUCGGCGGGAGAAGCUAUGCCGAGGCUACGGUAGAGAUUCUGUAGGAUUAAUCACUAGCAAGAGGCAAUAUUUUCAUCGGAGUAGGCAAGGAUUGGUUAAAAGGAAAUGGUUGAACUUGAAGCAAGGCGUGAGCGUGUGAGGCUUAAUAUCCCUCGUAGGAACAUAGAGUUAAGAAUGAAUAAAGAAGGAUUUUAUCUUCUUGUGGUCUGUGUAUUUGCUUUUGUCCGUUUUGUAUGGCGCUUCUCUUUCUAUGCAUUUAUUGUUUUCGUUUUGCCUUCAAUUCCUUGUCAAGUUCUCAUGAAGGCACUGGACGCAAAAUCAUGACCAUCUUGUAACAUUUGCUUUUCAUUAGUAUAAUGAUAGCUUCAUGUUAGCUCUCUGUGUAAAGGUAUACCUGAGGGUCCAGAUUUGACGAGCUUUGUUCGCCAAUUUUCGCCGGAUUUAAAAGGUGAUAUACCAGAGGAAGCUAGUGAAGAAGUAGAUAAACCAAGGUGAAUCAUUAGGAUUCAUAAUAUCUCUUCAGUAAUCCUAUCUUGGUCAAAGAACGUGAACCUGAUAAAGUAACUGCAGAACCACUCUAACCAAAGACAAUAGAGCGAUCAGGGUCUGGAUCAUCAUUAAGGCCUGGGACAUGGCAGGCACCAUCCUAAAGACAUCUCUUUUCAGGCAGAUAACAAACCGAUUGGUUUGACUCUUACAGAUGAAAUCAUCAUAGACAAGAGAGCUUUUGAGGACUCUACAUUUCUGGCCUUUGACGCUGUCAUUGAGAACAUAGAAGAGUCAAAAUGAGAAGCCAUCUUGGUAUGCUUUGUUUUAUUUUAGGGUGUUUGUCUCUUGGCAUAGUGCUUGAGACUUUUAUUUGCCUUUGUCCUUCAUAGCCGAAGAAGAGCCUAGCCAGUAGUCACCCUUUGUUUUUCCUCGUUGACUUUUAUUUAGUACUUACACAAAAAAAAGUUAAUAAACAUCUAGAGGAGAAGUCCUA